rnacentral:lncRNA from 1 species
ACUCGUUUAAAAAUAUCAUUUUAACAUGUAAAAAUAUCAAUUUCCUAGAUAAACUAUGCCGUCAAACUACAUAAAAUUAAAUUCUUAUCAAAAAUAAAAACAAAAGAAAAUACUUGGAUUUUUUUUUGCAGAUCAAAGUAGUUUUUUACUAUAAUUAUUCAUACACAACAAGGCCAGAGUGCCAUAAACUUUUGCUACAUGGACAUUAUUCAAGAUACUAAAGGUUAGCCUCAUAGUAAUAAUUAGCCAACCCUAGCACUCAUAACUAUUUUACAUAGAUAAUACUCCCAAAAGCAUUAAUUAAACAAGACAGUAGUCCAUUUUGUAGCCGUACCAUUUGUGCUAUAUUAUAGAAUUGGUCCUCGGAUCCGCAAUUUUCAUUUUAGAAGGUAGUGUUACGAAUUUGAGGCGGUAGUCAUCAGUAGCGUCAUCGGUAGGGCAAUCUACGAACCUUGUUGCUUGUUGGUUCAUGCAUACAUUAAUAUCCGUAAGCACAUAUUCUGAGUUUUCGUUUUUGGUGAAAUCGAUUUCUGGCACAGCAUUCAAGUGCUUUUUGAUUGCUUCUUUUAUCAUUUUAGGACGAUAAAGGUCGUUAUUCGGGUGAAUCCCUACACAUUUUUGAAUAGUAAUCUCAUCAAACUCACAUUAUCAUUUUACUUAGGAAGCAAUGAACCAAAUUAAAGACUAUUUAAUUAUAUAUGAAUGGGUAUGUUUACCUUCCUGGUUUAGUAGCCCAAUUAUAUCAAAUGCUUUUCUAAAAGCAAGCGCCGUUCUAAAAUAAUCAGUCUGCUUCAACAAUGCUUCUGAACACCUUCCAUGUUUCUUCCACUCGUAUUCCCAGAAUUGUACGUCCUCGGUGUUAGUUUCAUGACUCGGCCAUGCAAGAUGCAUUUCUGCUCGAAAGUCCGAUACCUUUAAUUUUCAAAAUGAAGGAGGAGAGAUAUUAGUUUAACAUAUGUGAGUAUGUAUGGAUAUAUUGCAUGUACACUUUCAAUUUUUUAUCAAACAAACUUAUGACUUAUCCAACUCUUCAAGAUAUAUAUAAAUGUUACCACAAAAAAAAAACAUAUUUAAUAGACAAUAGAGCAAGAAUUUUAAGUAGUAAAUUAAAUGCAGACCGAGAGAACUCACAGAGUUAACAUCAAAGGCAGUUCCGUCACAAUAUAACCCUGGGGUCCCCUUCUCGUUAUAGGGAUAAAGGCCGUGAAUGGUAAAUGUGUUGAGGAGAGACUUUGUAUCACAGGCAUUGUUGACCUCGCAAAAUCCAGCUGGCCAUUGAAGCCUUAGGGCAAACAUUGCCAAUGGAUAAUCUGAUCGAGCAUUCCCACCCCAAGAGAAAAUGCUCAAGCUCACUAUAAUGAUGCUGAUAAUAUAUAUUGCCCUCAUGAUCUCUUCAAACUUCAACAACUUUUUUCUUAAGAAAUGAAGUGUGUGUUUUCUGUGAUCUCUAGACUUCCAUGCAUACCCUUUUAUAGUCACCAGUUCUUUUUUAAUUAUAAUAAGAAAAAACUUAUAAAAUAUUUUUAUUUAUAUUUUUGAGUGUUAAUUUAUCCGUAA